CCGCCGGUGACCGGCGCACGGGUGAGUAACACGUAUGCAACCUGGCCGUGACAGAUGGAUAACCGGGAGAAAUCCCGCCUAAUACAGCAUGACGCCGGGAAGGGACAUCCCUUUCCGGCCAAAGGGGGCGACUCCGGUCACGGAUGGGCAUGCGGCGCAUUAGGUAGUUGGUGGGGCAACGGCCCACCAAGCCGACGAUGCGUAGGGGUUCUGAGAGGAAGGUCCCCCACAUUGGAACUGAGACACGGUCCAAACUCCUACGGAAGGCAGCAG
rnacentral:rRNA from 1 species